UCAGAGGUGCCAGUGACAGCAAAUGCCAGCUCUGCAGGACAGGAGAGUACCAGUUACAGAGGGGCAAGGAGAGCUGUGACCCGUGCCCAGAGAACCACUACUGCCCUAGCCCGGAUGUGACCCCUGUGAGGUGCCCUCCUGACGCCUUCUGCCCCGCAGGCAGCGCGGCGCCGGCCUACUGCAUGGAGCUCUUCCUGUACAAGGCAGGGGACUCCUGCCAGCUCACCCCCCUGCUGCUCACCCUCAUGGCUGUCUUCUCAGCAGGUGGAGUCCUUGCUGCCCUUCUGGCAAUUCUGAGAAGACAACAAGGCUACAGCAAGGAAUCCUUCAAGUCUCUCCUGCUGCCCAGAGGCUCAGGACAACACCCAACAUAUGGUGGGAUGGAGCACACAGAACCAGUCUAUGCUGGCUGGUAGCAAUGGACAUGCCACCACUGCUCUUUCCUCUGGGGCCAGGUAGAUCUGGGCCUGCAGGCAAGAUGUUGAGCCACCAGCAACCUGUUUGGCAUUGCUGAAGUGCUGAGAAAUAAGCCAAGGGUUUGGGUGGGAAGGGACCUUCAAGAUCAUCUAGUUCCAACCCCGCUGCCAGGGGCAGGGACACCUCCUAAUGGG